rnacentral:rRNA from 1 species
UACGUAGGGAGCAAGCGUUGUCCGGAUUCACUGGGUGUAAAGGGUGCGCAGGCGGAUUGGCAAGUCAGAGGUGAAAUCUCACGGCUCAACCGUGAAACUGCCUUUGAUACUGCUGAUCUUGAGUUAGGGAGAGGUUGAUGGAAUUCUAGGUGUAGCGGUGAAAUGCGUAGAUAUCUAGAAGAACACCAGUGGCGAAGGCGGCUAACUGGUCCGGUUCUGACGCUGAGGCGCGAAAGCGUGGGGAGCAAACAGG